AAAAAUUGUCCGUGAAAGUGCAAUUAUGCAGAAAGGCAGAAAAAGGCCAGACAGAGUGGAAACCGUGUUGGAAGGCAAAGACUUAUUGCAGGAAUACUGUAUGUUUGGCUCAAAGCUAGGUCCUGGAAACAAUCUGAAAAAAAUCCUCUACAUCCUGAGAUGUCUGCUGUCUAAAUCUUGGGGCUUGCAGAGUGGGUUCACUCUUCCGCUCUUCUGCCAUGUGAGGAUGCAGUAAGAUGACCCUCAGCAGAUGCUGGUGCCUUGAUCUUGGACUUCCCAGUCUCCAGAACUGGGAUGAAAUGCUGUGAUGGGUUGCACGCCCACAUCACCACUCUGCUGUCGGGAGAAGAGGAAGGCACGUUCCUCCCAAACACAGGGACUGAAAGCAGUUCUGAAGGCUGAAGUCCAAGACCAGGGUGGCAGCAUGGUCAGGUCCUGGCGAGGGCCAUUUUCCGAGUCUUUGCAGGUGCUUUAAAGUUAAGGAUCUCAAGAUGAGACCAUUCUGGAAUAUCCAGGUGGAUCCUAAAUCCAAUGACAAGUGUCCCUGUAAGAGACUGAAGAGGAGAGGACACGCUUCUCUGCCUCCGUGGGAGAAGAGGAGAAGGCCCGGCAAAGACGGAGGCAGAGGUUGGAACUCUGCAGUCACAAGCCAGGGAACAUGGAAGCCACCAGGAGCUGGAAG
rnacentral:lncRNA from 1 species